GACGAACGCUGGCGGCGUGCUUAACACAUGCAAGUCGAACGGAAAGGCCCUUCGGGGUACUCGAGUGGCGAACGGGUGAGUAACACGUGGGUGAUCUGCCCUGCACUUUGGGAUAAGCCUGGGAAACUGGGUCUAAUACCGAAUAGGACCACGCGCUUCAUGGUGUGUGGUGGAAAGCUUUUGCGGUGUGGGAUGGGCCCGCGGCCUAUCAGCUUGUUGGUGGGGUAAUGGCCUACCAAGGCGACGACGGGUAGCCGGCCUGAGAGGGUGACAGGCCACACUGGGACUGAGAUACGGCCCAGACUCCUACGGGAGGCAGCAGUGGGGAAUAUUGCACAAUGGGCGCAAGCCUGAUGCAGCGACGCCGCGUGAGGGAUGACGGCCUUCGGGUUGUAAACCUCUUUCACCAGGGACGAAGCGUAAGUGACGGUACCUGGAGAAGAAGCACCGGCCAACUACGUG
rnacentral:rRNA from 1 species